AGCAGCCGCGGUAAUUCCAGCUCCAAUAGCGUAUAUUAAAGUUGUUGCAGUUAAAAAGCUCGUAGUUGAAUUUCGGGAUCAUCAGGUCGGUCGUGCCUCCGGUAUGUACUGGUCUCGGUGGUUCCUCCUUCUUGUAGAACCGUAAUGCCAUUAAUUUGGUGUUGCGGGAAAACAGGACUGUUACUUUAGAAAAAAUUAGGGUGUUUAAAGCAGGCGAUCGCUUGAAUACAUUAGCAUGGAAUAAUGAAAUAGGACGUUCGAUCCUAUUUUGUUGGUUUCUAGGAUUGACGUAAUGAUUAAUAGGGAUAGUUGGGGGCAUUAGUAUUCAAUUGUCAGAGGUGAAAUUCUUGGAUUUAUUGAAGACUAACUACUGCGAAAGCAUUUGCCAAGGAUGUUUUCAUUAAUCAAGAACGAAAGUUAGGGGAUCGAAGACGAUCAGAUACCGUCGUAGUCUUAACCAUAAACUAUGCCGACUAGGGAUCGGAUGAUGUUAAUUUUUUAAUGACUCAUUUCGGCGCCU
rnacentral:rRNA from 1 species